CCACUCCACCUUCGAAUGGGCUCUAUAUGGUCUCUUUGUUUUAGUUGCAGAUCAAAUGGAGAAAAGGAGGGCUUUUAUUUAUCUACAAGCUUUUGAUUGUUUUUUUCUUAAUUUUGUGUUUUGUGUUGUUUGUGCAUGUAGAAACUAGAGACUUCUCUGGUCUUUUUGAGGCUCUUGACUUUUCAUGAUUUUUUUUAGAAAAAGAAUGUUGCCUUUGUGUGGCAAUUUUUCUCUCUGAUGGUUAUUGUAAAGUCUGUCAGGUAAUGCUUCAUUUGGAUAGAUAUCUAUCUCAUCGUGAGGAGGGUGC
rnacentral:lncRNA from 1 species